CCUACGGGUGGCAGCAGUGAGGAAUAUUGGUCAAUGGACGAGAGGCUGAACCAGCCAAGUAGCGUGAAGGAUGACUGCCCUAUGGGUUGUAAACUUCUUUUAUAAAGGAAUAAAACGAGGCACGUGUGCCUUUUUGCAUGUACUUUAUGAAUAAGCAUCGGCUAACUCCGUGCCAGCAGCCGCGGUAAUACGGAGGAUCCGAGCGUUAUCCGGAUUUAUUGGGUUUAAAGGGUGCGUAGGUGGGUUGUUAAGUCAGUUGUGAAAGUUUGCGGCUCAACCGUAAAAUUGCAAUUGAUACUGGCAGUCUUGAGUACAUUUGAGGUAGGCGGAAUUCGUGGUGUAGCGGUGAAAUGCUUAGAUAUCACGAAGAACCCCGAUUGCGAAGGCAGCUUACUAAGCUGUGACUGACAUUGAUGCUCGAAAGUGUGGGUAUCAAACAGGAUUAGAUACCCCGGUAGUC
rnacentral:rRNA from 1 species